AGAAGGAUUUUCGAGAAAAGGGAAGAGAUUCA
rnacentral:sRNA from 1 species